UACGUAGGGGGCAAGCGUUGUCCGGAUUUAUUGGGCGUAAAGAGCGUGUAGGCGCCAGACAGGUCCGUUGUGAAAACUCGAGGCUCAACCUCGAGACGUCGACGGAAACCGUCUGGCUAGAGUCCGGAAGGGGAGUGUGGAAUUCCGUGGUGUAGCGGUGAAAUGCGCAGAUAUCAGGAGGAACACCGGUGGCGAAGGCGGGUCUCUGGGCCAUACUGACGCUGGAGGAGCGAAAGCGUGGGGAGCGAACAGG
rnacentral:rRNA from 1 species